rnacentral:tRNA from 1 species
GGGAAAUAGCCUAGUGGGUAGAGCACCCGUCUCUGACCCACCAGGUCCGGGGUUCGACUCUU